AUGGAUCAGGAUCCCCAGGAUGCCGACGCCGCCGCGGAUCCACUGCCACGCGCAGCUCGGGCCCGAGCCGCGACGGGCUCGGCUAUCGCCGCUGCCGCGUGCGCCCUUCGUCUCCAGGCUCGAAGAGCCCCGCCGCCAGCCACCCCCAACCCACAUCGGCGUCAAGCUAUCUCCUUGGUGUUGUUGUCCUCGAUAGGCUAA
rnacentral:rRNA from 1 species